AUUUGACCAUCUCACCGUAGUGGUGACCAAAGAGUCACUUUCCCAUGGCACUCCACCGAACGUUUCUCAACAGUUCUCUCCCCCCUCUCACCCUGCCUGGAUACAGAAAGAGCUUCAAGGACUGCUUCACCUCUUGACACCCUUUGUAAGCCUAACGACCCUUAAUGGUCCACCUGCAGCUGCUGGAAGGGAACGGGAGAGAGGCAGACCCCGAGGAAGUCAGCCUGACCGGAAAGAGCUCAGAUAUGGUACCAGCCUCCCUGCCUCAGAAGCAAGGAUCACUUUAUUUCAUUAAACGCCCCCCCUGGGCAGGAAAGAGGCAAUUUGCUCUCCGCAGAGCUGCACCAGCACCUUCCUUCUCUGGGGAGACACCUGGCACCACAAGCCCAGAGAAAGCAGCAAGCAGCACAGCAGCAGCACUCUAGAGUCACACCGAGAUGCAUUGAGGCCCCUAAAGCCGAAGCCAUGGAGUGUCCCUGCAAGGCAGCAGCUGCGGAGAGCAGAAGCAAGCUCUGCGCUGCGCGAUUGUGCUGCCCACACUCCGGAGCGUCUAGCAGACGCCAGAGGAUAAUAAAGGCCCAGGUUCCCAGGGGUCCCUGCAGCCAACAAACAUGUUUUAUUAACUCCCUCAAUGACCUCACCGCACAGGAACGUGGCUCUGAUAAUUUAUAGACACAAUUUAAUUGGACUUGAUGCAA